AUUUGUAAGACCCUGGAGUGAUGAUAAAAAAAGAAAUGAAGUGAAAGACCCCCGGAGCAGGGAGACCCUCACUUAAGUCUUGGGAUGAUGCGACCCCCCAAGAACUCACGUGAGACC
rnacentral:pre_miRNA from 14 species